rnacentral:sRNA from 1 species
GUUUCCGAUGCGGGAUCGCCACCAGUCAGCGCGUUGCGCCCACUGGUGCCGUUGGC